GAUGAACGCUGGCGGCGUGCCUAAUACAUGCAAGUCGAACGAGGUGCUUUUGUAGCAAUACGGGAGUAUCCUAGUGGCGAACGGGUGAGUAACGCGUUGGUGACCUACCCCAAAGUGUGGAAUAACAGUCCGAAAGGAUUGCUAAUACCGCAUGUGGUCUACGAGUUUAGAAAUCGUUGACUAAACGAGUAAUCCGCUUUUGGAGGGACCUGCGUCCCAUCAGCUAGUUGGUGAGGUAACGGCUCACCAAGGCGACGACGGGUAGGGGACCUGAGAGGGUGGCCCCCCACAAUGGAACUGAAACACGGUCCAUACACCUACGGGUGGCAGCAGUAGGGAAUAUUGCACAAUGGGCGAAAGCCUGAUGCAGCAACGCCGCGUGUGCGAUGAAGGUCUUCGGAUCGUAAAGCACUUUUCUGAGAGAUGAGAAAGGACAGUAUCUCAGGAAUAAGUCUCGGCUAACUACGUGCCAGCCGCCGCCGUAAAAC
rnacentral:rRNA from 1 species